rnacentral:lncRNA from 1 species
CAAAUUAGAUUUUUAUGCCCCACCUACGAUAGUAGAGGGGCAUUAUGUUUUCUGGUCUGUGCGUCCGUUCGUCCGUCCGUCUGUUCGUUCGUUCGUCUGUUCGUUCGUCCGUCUGUCCCGCUUCAGGUUAAAGUUUUUGGUCAAGGUAGUUUUUGAUGAAGUUGAAGUCCAAUCAACUUGAAACUUAGUACACAUGUUCCUUAUGAUAUGAUCUUUCUAAUUUAAAUGUCAAAUUAGAGUUUUGACCCC